rnacentral:rRNA from 1 species
CCUACGGGCGGCAGCAGUCGAGAAUCAUUCACAAUGGGGGAAACCCUGAUGGUGCGACGCCGCGUGGGGGAAUGAAGGUCUUCGGAUUGUAAACCCCUGUCAUGUGGGAGCAAAUUAAAAAGAUCGUACCCCAAGAGGAAGAGACGGCUAACUCUGUGCCAGCAGCCGCGGUAAUACAGAGGUCUCAAGCGUUGUUCGGAAUCACGGGGCGUAAAGCGUGCGUAGGCUGUUUCGUAAGUCGUGUGUGAAAGGCGCGGGCUCAACCCGCGGAAGGCACAUGAUACUGCGAGACUAGAGUAAUGGAGGGGGAACCGGAAUUCUCGGUGUAGCAGUGAAAUGCGUAGAUAUCGAGAGGAACACUCGUGGCGAAGGCGGGUUCCUGGACAUUAACUGACGCUGAGGCACGAAGGCCAGGGGAGCGAAAGGGAUUAGAUACCCUAGUAGUC